GAUCCUGGCUCAUGACGAACGCUGGCGGCGUGCUUAACACAUGCAAGUCGAACGAGAAUCUACAGAUCGAGGAUUCGUCCAAUAGAAGUAGAGGACAGUGGCGGACGGGUGAGUAACGCGUGAGGAACCUGCCUUUCAGAGGGGGACAACAGUUGGAAACGACUGCUAAUACCGCAUGACACAUUGGGGUCGCAUGGCCUUGAUGUCAAAGAUUUAUCG
rnacentral:rRNA from 1 species